AUUGAAAAAAAAACGUAGCAAGGAUUUUAUCAACAGAAGUACUUUGAACAUAACUAUAUAAAACGAGUUUCAACAAAAAUUUGUACAGUAUCUGUCACAAGCAGAAAUGAAGAUAAUUGCCUUAAUUUUCAUAACAAUUUCCUUGGUUAUGGCCGACAUAACUAGGGAUAGGUUUAAAAUUGUACCCACUCGCAAAAUAACUCACAGAGAACUAAAUAAUCUUGCAUCCUCUGAAGAUGUAAGGAUCGUGGGAGGAAAUGAAGCUGUACCAAACUCCUUACCAUACCAGGUCGCCUUGAGACCAUUUUACGAUGAAUGGACGAGUUUCUGUGGAGGAUCUCUCAUCACCAAGAGAUACGUGCUGACAGCUGCGCAUUGCUUAGAUGGUAGACUUUUGUCGGUAGAAGUAAUUCUGGGGGCACAUAAGUAUCGUGAAAUUGAAUCUACCCAACAAAGGAUCAACACAUCCACGUUCAAAGUACAUGAACAAUUUAACAGUGAAACACUAGAUAAUGAUUUGGGUGUCAUCUAUCUUCCAACGCCAGCAAAAAUUAAUCACUACGUUCAGUUGAUAGCACUGCCCAGUAGAACUGACGUUUCUAAUAGUUUCGCUGGACAUAAGGCAACAGCAAGUGGUUGGGGAGACGAUUAUGAUCCUGCCACCGAUGGCAAAGAAGUAUUGCGAUAUAUCAAUGUCCGUAUUCUCAGAAACGAAGUGUGUAAUGAAACAUUCAAGGAUAUCAUAGAUUCGGUCAUUUGUACUGCAGGAACAGGCAGAAAAGGAGUCUGCUUUGGAGAUUCAGGCGGACCACUUGUGACCAAUAAAAAAUUGGGAAAUGCAAAGAUUAGCUCAGGAUAGGAAAGAGUGGAGUUCAACCAGUCUUACCACUGACGACCUUAAGAUGAUGAAAUUAUACAUACAGUGGAAUAAGCAGAUGUGUCCUUCAACAUACACCAGCAAUAAGAGAUAGUGUGACUUUCGUAAGGAUUAAUGCUCUUCAAGAUCUGAACGUUGGUUGGAACGGACUCACCAUUGCCUUUGAUUUGCUGACUCACGAGCACUUUUUUUUAUAAAGUAUUUUAGGGAUGCUGGUGAAAUUCACUAUACACCAUCAUGUACAAAAUAUACGACAAAUUAGCGUAGUCUUUUAAAAAUUAAAAAUUGGUGUAGCAUCAUUUAUAGGUGAUAAUGAUUGUGAUGCUGGUGAUCCAUCUGGCUUUUCUAGGGUAACAUCAUUUUUAAAUUGG